AGCAGCCGCGGUAAUUCCAGCUCCAAUAGCGUAUAUUAAAGUUGUUGCAGUUAAAAAGCUCGUAGUUGAAUUUCGGGAUCAAUAUGUUGGUCGUGCCUUGGUACGUACUGGCAUUAUCGAUUCCUACCUUCUGAAGAACCUCGAUGUCAUUAAUUUGGUGUCUUGGGGAAUCAGGACUGUUACUUUGAAAAAUUAGAGUGUUUAAAGCAGGCUCGCGCUUGAAUACAUUAGCAUGGAAUAAUGAAAUAGGACGUUUGAUUCUAUUUUGUUGGUUUCUAGGAUCGACGUAAUGAUUAAUAGGGAUAGUUGGGGGCAUUAGUAUUCAAUUGUCAGAGGUGAAAUUCUUGGAUUUAUUGAAGACUAACUACUGCGAAAGCAUUUGCCAAGGAUGUUUUCAUUAAUCAAGAACGAAAGUUAGGGGAUCGAAGACGAUCAGAUACCGUCGUAGUCUUAACCAUAAACUAUGCCGACUAGGGAUCGGAUGAUGUUAAUUUUUAAUGA
rnacentral:sRNA from 1 species